GACGAACGCUGGCGGCGUGCCUAAUACAUGCAAGUCGAGCGCAGGAAAUCGACGGAACCCUUCGGGGGGAAGUCGACGGAAUGAGCGGCGGACGGGUGAGUAACACGUAAAGAACCUGCCCUCAGGUCUGGGAUAACCACGAGAAAUCGGGGCUAAUACCGGAUGGGUCAUCGGACCGCAUGGUCCGAGGAUGAAAGGCGCUCCGGCGUCGCCUGGGGAUGGCUUUGCGGUGCAUUAGCUAGUUGGUGGGGUAAUGGCCCACCAAGGCGACGAUGCAUAGCCGACCUGAGAGGGUGAUCGGACACACUGGGACUGAGACACGGCCCAGACUCCUACGGGAGGCAGCAGUAGGGAAUCUUCCACAAUGGACGAAAGUCGGAUGGAGCAACGCCGCGUGAACGAUGAAGGCCUUCGGGUCGUAAAGUUCUGUUGUAAGGGAAGAACAAGUGCCGCAGGCAAUGGCGGCACCUUGACGGUACCUUGCGAGAAAGCCACGGCUAACUACGUGCCAGCCGCCGCAGUAAUAC
rnacentral:rRNA from 1 species